GGUGUUGUGGCUCAAUGGUAGAGCACUUGCCUAGCAUGUGUGAGGCUCUGGGUUCGAUUCUCAGCACUACAU
rnacentral:tRNA from 1 species